rnacentral:rRNA from 1 species
GUUUAGUCAUGGCUCAGGAUGAACGCUAGCGGCAGGCCUAACACAUGCAAGUCGAACGGUAACAGGAAAAAGCUUGCUUUUUUGCUGACGAGUGGCGCACGGGUGCGUAACGCGUAUACAAUCUACCUUUUACUGGGGAAUAGCCUUUGGAAACGAAGAAUAAUACCCCAUAGUAUCUAAAUUUCGCAUGUUAUUUAGAUUAAAGUUUCGGCGGUAAGAGAUGAGUAUGCGUUCUAUUAGCUAGAUGGUGUGGUAACGGCACACCAUGGCAACGAUAGAUAGGGGCCCUGAGAGGGGGAUCCCCCACACUGGUACUGAGACACGGACCAGACUCCUACGGGAGGCAGCAGUGAGGAAUAUUGGACAAUGGGCGAAAGCCUGAUCCAGCCAUGCCGCGUGCAGGAAGACUGCCCUAUGGGUUGUAAACUGCUUUUAUACGGGAAGAAACCCAUCUACGUGUAGGUGGCUGACGGUACCGUAAGAAUAAGCAUCGGCUAACUCCGUGCCAGCAGCCGCGGUAAUACGGAGGAUGCAAGCGUUAUCCGGAAUCAUU